GGUCAAUUCAAUCUUAAGGAAACUGCUAACAGUCAAAUCAUUUUUUUUCUCUAAAAAUAUAUUUGAAAUUAUGACCUUUUAGACACUUUAAAGCACAUGCUUUGAGGGAGGGCACAAGCACGGUGCAUAUUUGGAAAGCUAAUCAGGUUGUCCUCCUGCCUAAGCUUAAACUCAGACCUAUGGUUUGCAGGUUAACAGAUCUUGAUGUUUUAAUCCUGUACAUCUAAGGUGCAUCGCUCACCAUCUGCUUACCAUACCACCCCUCAAACCUUGUAGGCAUAUUAAUUUCCUUGUAAAUAAUUUAAUUUGCGGCUUCAAGAAACAGCGACCUUCUAUUCAUAGUCAUGUAUCUACAUUUUAUGCUAGAAUAAUUUAAUUCAUUUAAUUAAAUUUUAAUGACGACAGCGAUUUUAAUCAAUGCCUCUGGAACCCGACUGUUGUUUUCUUUGUUUUAUUUUUCUUACAUGUUUUUUUGGUUUGCUUAUUUUAUUUUAUGUGCUUUGUAGUAAUAUAACUACUGGCAUCUUUGCAAAUUCUGUGACUCAUCUGUACUAAUUGCACAUAGGCGCUGUAAUCCUUAAGCAUUCUUAACAAACUUCCCCAUUGCUAUUUGUGUUGCUUUUCUUUCUUCUUUCUUUUUCAGUUUCCGGUGGCAUUUCUGUUCAUUUUAGUGUUUGCAUUUCACGGUGAGUUAUUUAAGUCAGUUCCGAAGGCUGUAAGUGCUUGUAUGUGCAUAAUGAAACCCUAUAUUUAUAGUAUCCCCGCUGCAUACAAAUAUGUAUCACAACAUGUAGAUCUAAAGCAAACAGGCAGAGUAAGUCUGCUAUAAAGGCUGCUCUUCAUUCCCCUGUGGAGGUUCAAUCAGGUGUGACUCACGGUGAAUAGGCUUGGAGGACAAAUGGAAUUCAUAGUGAGCCGUCAUGCUGACAAGCUUGUCAUCUUCCUCCCCUAUAAUUGUCUUUCCGUGUCUCAGCAGGUCAGCAGAGAUACGGCUGAAAUCUGUAGUGUUGCAUUUAUGUCUCCCUGUCAAGUCCAAGGAAGGCUCUAAAUAAGGGAUUUUUAUCAUGUCUUUAGAUCCUCUUUUGUCUUCAGAUGCAAAAAUUUAUUGUGAUUGUCAAGAUUCACGGGUUCAUGAGGAUCACUGCUUGGUGC
ensembl:lncRNA